rnacentral:misc_RNA from 1 species
AAGUCGUAACAAGGUCUCCGUUGGUGAACCAGCGGAGGGAUCAUUACCGAGUUUACAACUCCCAAACCCAAUGUGAACGUUACCAAACUGUUGCCUCGGCGGGAUCUCAUGCCCCGGGUGCGUCGCAGCCCCGGACCAAGGCGCCCGCCGGAGGACCAACCCAAAACUCUUUUUUGUAUACCCCCUCGCGGGGUUUUUACUUCUGAGACUUUCUCGGCGCCCCUAGUGGGCGUUUCGAAAAUGAAUCAAAACUUUCAACAACGGAUCUCUUGGUUCUG